UACGAAGGGGGCUAGCGUUGUUCGGAAUUACUGGGCGUAAAGGGCGCGUAGGCGGCGUGUCAAGUCAGGCGUGAAAGCCCCGGGCUCAACCUGGGAACCGCGCUUGAGACUGGCAUGCUCGAGUUCGGGAGAGGAUGGUGGAAUUCCUAGUGUAGAGGUGAAAUUCGUAGAUAUUGGGAAGAACACCGAUGGCGAAGGCAGCUCACUGGGACGGUACUGACGCUGAGGCGCGAAAGCGUGGGGAGCAAACAGG
rnacentral:rRNA from 1 species